rfam:Culex pipiens quinquefasciatus supercont3.657 genomic scaffold, whole genome shotgun sequence.
GGCUCCGUGGCUUAAUGGUUACGGCUUCUGCCUCACAAGCAGAAGGCUCAGGGAUCAAAUCCCGGUCGGUACCU